GAGGCUGGGGCUUAGUGGUAGAGCGCAUGCCUAGCAUGCGUGAGGCACUGGGUUCGAUCCUCAGCACCACA
rnacentral:tRNA from 1 species